AAUAGUUUUAUGCCACAUCAGUACUCUUAUCUUGAAUUUCAAGAUUUUAUCCUGAAAAAAAUCAAAUCCAAAUUAAAAUAUUGAAAUUCAGGAUAAAAUCCUGAAAUUCAGGAUAAGAGUACUGAUGUGGCAUAAAACUAUU
rfam:Gossypium hirsutum cultivar TM-1 chromosome 13, whole genome shotgun sequence